rnacentral:lncRNA from 1 species
AAUUACCGAGGAGUUUUCUAUCUUCUAACCCUUGGAGGAAAAUCUGCGCUCCAGCAGCUGGGACCGAGGCAUGAGAGCGUUGAAUCAUGAGUGGCACCGUUCGCAAAAAUUGGUGUCUUUGUACAAAGACAGUGCCACAACACAACUCAGUGACCAUCGGGAGAGCAGCCUCAUGAUGGGCGAUGCUCCAUCAGUUUUCUCUUGCGAUCUUUUGCAUAGAUCGGUCCCGCCCCGCAUAUGGCGAUGAGGACUCAAGAGACACGGAAAACGUUUUCUUUCUGGAAAACAUGAAAUAGGCUUUGUAGAUGGACAGGAAGUCAAGGGACAAGCGGUGCGCCGCAGAGAGCGAGGACCCACUCUUCUAUUCCUUUGCGGAGGCACGGACACACGGUGUGGCCCGAAACAGCGGCAGGAGAGUGAGACCCGGGCUCCGACCGCGGUGACGCUGUCCUGGUCCCUGGACGGUUAGGAACGGUUGGGUCCUGCUACUGCCUCCGUGGGGCAGGGAGCCUCGCGAGACCAGCACUGCGCCCUACUCGGUCCACCCUGUCCCCGCUCCGCGCUAGGGGCUCACCCUGGGAACAGGGGUCGGGCGAUCCUGGUCAUUGGGGGAUCUUCCGCACUAGCUUCCAUCACAAUACCUGGCAGGUGAUGAGCAAUAAAUAUUUGCUGAAAGAA